rnacentral:rRNA from 1 species
UGCACUUCGGGAUAAGCCUGGGAAACUGGGUCUAAUACCGGAUAGGACCUUUAGNCGCAUGUCUUUUGGUGGAAAGCUUUUGCGGUGUGGGAUGGGCCCGCGGCCUAUCAGCUUGUUGGUGGGGUGAUGGCCUACCAAGGCGACGACGGGUAGCCGGCCUGAGAGGGUGUCCGGCCACACUGGGACUGAGAUACGGCCCAGACUCCUACGGGAGGCAGCAGUGGGGAAUAUUGCACAAUGGGCGCAAGCCUGAUGCAGCGACGCCGCGUGGGGGAUGACGGCCUUCGGGUUGUAAACCUCUUUCACCAUCGACGAAGGUCCGGGUUUUCUCGGAUUGACGGUAGGUGGAGAAGAAGCACCGGCCAACUACGUGCCAGCAGCCGCGGUAAUACGUAGGGUGCGAGCGUUGUCCGGAAUUACUGGGCGUAAAGAGCUCGUAGGUGGUUUGUCGCGUUGUUCGUGAAAUCUCACGGCUUAACUGUGAGCGUGCGGGCGAUACGGGCAGACUAGAGUACUGCAGGGGAGACUGGAAUUCCUGGUGUAGCNGUGGAAUGCNCANAUAUCAGGAGGAACACCGGUGGCGAAGGCGGGUCUCUGGGCAGUAACUGACGCUGAGGANCGAAAGCGUGGGGAGCGAACAGGAUUAGAUACCCUGGUAGUCCANGCCGUNAACGGUGGGUACUAGGUGUGGGUNUCCUUCCUUGGGAUCCGUGCCGUAGCUAACGCAUUAAGUACCCCGCCUGGGGAGUACGGCCGCAAGGCUAA